GAGGGGCCCUUCUCGGGUUACCGAAUUCAGACAAACUCCGAAUGCCAAUCAAUUUAACUUGGGAGUCAGAACGCGGGUGAUAAGGUCCGUGUUCGAAAGGGAAACAGCCCAGACCACCAGCUAAGGUCCCAAAAUAUAUGUUAAGUGGAAAAGGAUGUGGCGUUGCCCAGACAACUAGGAUGUUGGCUUAGAAGCAGCCAUCAUUUAAAGAGUGCGUAAUAGCUCACUAGUCGAGUGACACUGCGCCGAAAAUGUACCGGGGCUAAACAUAUUACCGAAGCUGUGGAUUGUCCGUAGGACAAUGGUAGGAGAGCGUUCUAAGGGCGUUGAAGCAUGAUCGCAAGGACAUGUGGAGCGCUUAGAA
rnacentral:rRNA from 1 species